GCUGGGGUAGCUCAGUUGGUAGAGCAUGAGAGUCUUAAUCUCAGAGUUGUCGGUUUGAGCCCCACGUUGGGCG